AUUUUUCCUGGGUUGUGGUUGGUGGGUGUUACUGCGAAUGCUUACAAGGUUGCUGAUUCUCCUUCUAAGAGGUGGAUUUGUUUUGUGCCCAAAAGAUUGUGACUUUGUUGAAAGUUCGUAAAUGGAAAAGGCAGCUGCCCCCUGCGGCUUGGAACGCUCAAUUCGGAGGGUCUGAAGAACAACCAUGUAGUAAGAAAGUUGGAGAAGCAUCAACAGAUUUGCACCAUUGACCAACAUAUUGAAGGGCAAUUUGGUGGUGGUUGUCUGUUGGCUUGUAUUAUAGCAUGGGUUCGUCCGAGUGCUUAACGGUGUUUAUCUGUUUGCAUCUCAUGCCUUAACUCCCUCAGU